rnacentral:rRNA from 1 species
UGGGGAAUCUUCCGCAAUGGACGAAAGUCUGACGGAGCAACGCCGCGUGAGUGAAGACGGCCUUCGGGUUGUAAAGCUCUGUGAUUCGGGACGAAAGGCCAUAUGUGAAUAAUAUAUGGAAAUGACGGUACCGAAAAAGCAAGCCACGGCUAACUACGUGCCAGCAGCCGCGGUAAUACGUAGGUGGCAAGCGUUGUCCGGAAUUAUUGGGCGUAAAGCGCGCGCAGGUGGUUUAGAAAGUCUGAUGUGAAAGCCCACGGCUCAACCGUGGAGGGUCAUUGGAAACUAAUAAACUUGAGUGCAGGAGAGAAAAGUGGAAUUCCUAGUGUAGCGGUGAAAUGCGUAGAGAUUAGGAGGAACACCGGUGGCGAAAGCGGCUUUUUGGCCUGCAACUGACACUGAGGCGCGAAAGCGUGGGGAGCAAACAGG